GUAGCUGGCUAAACAAGUUCCCUGUUAAAUCCAGCGAUUUAAUCGUUGGAUUGCGGGGGAUACUGUUUGGCUAGGGGGCGGGAGAGGCCGACGGUAUUUUCGGGGUAGGGGUGAAAUCCUAUAAUCCCGGAAGGACCACCAGUGGCGAAGGCUGUCGGCUAGAACGCGCCCGACGGUGAGGGAUGAAAGCUGGGGGAGCGAACCGGAUUAGAUACCCGGGUAGUCCCAGCUGUAAACGAUGCAGGCUAGGUGUUAGGGCGGCCACGUGCCGCUCUAGUGCCGCAGGGAAGCUGUUAAGCCUGCCGCCUGGGGAGUACGGCCGCAAGGCUGAAACUUAAAGGAAUUGGCGGGGGAGCACCACAAGGGGUGAAGCUUGCGGUUUAAUUGGAGUCAACGCCGGAAAUCUCACCGGGGGCGACAGCAGAGUGAAGGCCAGAUUAAAGGUCUUGCCAGACGAGCUGAGAGGAGGUGCAUGGCCGUCGCCAGUUCGUGCCGUGAGGUGUCCUGUUAAGUCAGGCAACGAUCGAGACCCGCAUCUCCAGUUGCUAUUGACCUUGCGUCAAGCACACUGGGGAGACCGCCGCCGAUAAGGCGGAGGAAGGAGCGGGCCACGGCAGGUCAGUAUGCCCCGAAUCUCCCGGGCCACACGCGAGCUGCAAUGGCAGGUACAAUGGGUUUCGACUCCGAAAGGAGGAGGCAAUCCUUAAAGCCUGCCGUAGUUGGGAUCGAGGGUUGAAACUCAC
rnacentral:rRNA from 1 species